AUCGCUGUUUUCUGUAGCUCCGUGGCCGCGUCGUUAUCAAAACGAAUAGUUCUCCUACCGUCGAUAAUGCGAUUAUCAAAACAAACGGUUCUCCUCUGGUUAAUAACACGAGUUUUUGAAAACGAUUUUUACAAUUUUCGCCGGAUUUUUCAAUUUUUCCGAAAGUUUUUCACUUCGUUGUUUGCGUAGCUCGCGUCUCUUGAAGGCCGUGCGUAUACGUGUUUUUCGUCGUUUGUGUUUGUAGCUGUCACGAUCGCGAUUGUCUGUAUAUGAAAUAUAUACUAUUUGAAGCUUGAGUUUACACAACAUUUUGAUUACACUUGCUACUCUCAUAUUGUCCUCGAUGUGAUGCAGUCGGCUUGCUUAUAUGCACCGGGAAAAGCGACGGGAUAACUAUUUACACCAGACGAUAACUGCUAGACAUUUAGACAUGGCAAUCGACUUAUUCAUAUUUUUUACAAGCUCAAACCUCACUGAUCCGGUGAAACGAUUUUCACUCUCGACCAACUUGAAGGCACCCGAGGAAAUUUCCAAAUUCCAGCAAUUGAGUUUCCGCCAGCCACUAGUUGUGAUAAUAAAUUACGAAAUGACAAGAAUAUUAAUAAUAAUGAUUGCAAGACAGUGGUGUACCUGAAUUGCCUACCCAAAACGCCGCUGAACAUAAUAUCAGUAAUGAAAAUAUGUG